rnacentral:piRNA from 1 species
GGACUGAAUGAAAGGGUCUAUGAUAA